GGGGCUGUGGCUCAGUGGUGGAGUGUCUGCCUGGUAUGCUAGAAGAUCUCAAGUUCGAUUCCCGGCAUCUCCA
rnacentral:tRNA from 1 species